GUCCCCUGGCCCCAUAUUCCUCUUCUGCCUGGCUUGAAUGGGGCUCAUUACCCACUUUAAGCCAUGUUUUGGCCGGUCUCUUCCUCCCAAUGCCAGAGCCCAGCUGCUCUCUAGGAAACCCUCUCAACUGGGGCAGACCCAGGCCAAGGGAGAUCUUCCCAGAAUGAAAGCCUGGCUGUCCCUAGCCCGAGCUCGCGCCCACUUUGUGCUCGCACUCCGUCUAGCGCGCGCCCAACAUUCCUCAGGCGUUACUCCGGUAGGCACCAAAGGACGCGGACGAGGACGCGGACGAGGACGGUGCUGUCGCUAGACGGGAGCCGCGGUCUCAGCAGGUGCUCAAGAGAGCCAAGCCCUGGCACAGUGUGGCCGGAAGAAAAGGUGUUAGAGAGGUGGAGGGUCUGGAGCUCCGUGCCUUCCUCUGUGCCAAGGAACAGUGUCUGCACCUCCUCUUCACUGCCCACCCUCUUUGCCAGGGCUCAUCUGCACGCUAAGACUUGCCCCUGGGCGCAGGCACCUCUGUUCCUUCCCCUAAGCUCUGCCCCCAAAAUCCCCAGAAAUAGCGGUGUCCAUGACUGAGGGGAGUCCCUCAAGGCCAGGCUGUUUGCCCCCUGCUUCAUCUCCCUCUCCCACAAACAACUCCCAAAUCGAAUUGCCCAGGCCAGGGCGCAUUUCCGAAUGCCAAGGCAUGGCAUACUUUUCCACCGUCUUCUCGAACAAAGUUCGCUUGUUUUCCCUAGUAGUGUGAGUGCCUCUGUGUGUGCGUGCAUGCGUGUGUGUGUGUGUGUGUGUGUGUGUGUGUGCCUAUUUAUGUUUGGCAGGAGGGAGGGCAUGCCACAGUCCAGUGCCCAGCGUUGACCCUCCCAUUUCCCUGCUCCCAUAUACCCGUCUUGUCGGGCCAGAAUGGGGCUCAUUACCCAUUUUAUGCCCGGUCUCAACCUCCCAAUGCCAGAGUCCGGCUGGCCUCUAGCAAACCUUCUAAAAUGGGCAAAGCCCAGGCCAAGGCUGAUCCUCCCAGAAUCAAAGCCUGGCUGCCCGGAGCCCGAGCUCGCGCACUCCUUACCUUCACAGUCCUUCUGGUGCGCGCCAGCGUUCCCCCGACUGUACUCUGGUAGCCAUCAAAAGAGGCGGACGCUGUUGCAGACGGGGCGGUUGGGGUACAGAUAUAGUGGUCUCAGCAGGUGAUCUGUCGGGCCACUUGCCAACCGUGUAAUGUGGGGCAGCUCCAGGCCAAGGUUGAUCCUCCCAGGAUGAAGGUCCGGCUGGCCCUAGUCCCAGCUCAAUCCCGCUCCUUCCUCGCGGCCCCUCUGGCGUGGGCUUCGCUUUUCCCACGAGUUCCCUUUCGUGUUAUCCGGGUUCCCGCUAAAGGACCCGGAGGGGGACGCGGACGAGGAAGCGGUGCCAGGGCAGGGAGGAAGCAGUCUCCGCAGCUACGGGGGCUGGUUUGGCCAUGCCAGGACCGGGAGGCAGAGGAGGUGUGGGCAAUUGGAGUGUCUGGAGCCCUAGGUGAGGACACGGUUCCCUCCUCUGUGGCAGGACACAGUGGCUGCCCCUUCUUUUGUCUGCACAGCCUCUGUGCCAAGGCACGUGUGCCUCUGCUCCAUCCCCUACCGUCCCCACCUAGUUCUCCAGGUACAGGAGUGUCCAUGACUGAAUUGAAUCUCCCAAUGCCAAGCCUGCUUUUCCACCCCAUUUCAUCUCCCUCCCCCUGCCCGCCAAAAAAACAAAAAAACAAAAAAACAAAACCAAAAACAAAAACAAAACUCCAGUAUGGACUUGUACAGGGCUUGACAAUUUAGAAAUCCCUGAGGAAACAUUCAGGUUGGACUUCCUGAGCAAGCAGAUGGGAAGGCCUAGGGCCUGCCUUGGAGGGGGGGGGACCACUUGUCAACCUUGACUCUUUUGUAGCAUGAGUGUAAUAUUCCUCAAGAGCUGUGAUGGUGAAAUGAAGAAAAAGUCUAUAGAGGGCCAGGGCUGUUUCUCAUGAAGCCUAUUGCCCAAGGGUCAGGGUUAGGAUCAGCUGGUUAGCUUGGACCAGUACAUGUGAUCCCUUCCACCCACCAGAACAGGGUUUUGGGUGGUGGGGGAAACCAAAGACUUGGAAGAGAAGGUGGUUCUUUCCCUCAAGCUUACAGUCUAUGGGGAGAAGAACAAGUCGUGUUUGUGAAGCAACCCAAUCACAAGGCCAGUGUUACAAGCUCAGAUUCGAUAAAGAUGCUGUGAGGGAGAGAGUCAGCAAAGAGCUGGGCCUCUGUUUCAGCAGGGAAGCCUAGUGCAGGAUCCUUUUGAGAGUAGACUUAGUGGCCAGUCUGAGGCAGGGCUGAGCUCAGGCCAUGAGGUUGGUGAGCUUGACCCUGGUAGGCAGCCAUCAUCAAUGUGCCUUGGAGCUGCUUCAGAAGCACUUGAGGAGAGAAGCUGCCAGCCCAUCUUCCCUUUUGGAGGAAUGAGUCUGGGGAAUUUGGUCCCUCCCUUUCAAAGUCGCCCUCAUCAGUCCCUUCUCAGGCUCUCCCAGAAAAUAGCAUCAAGUCACUCAGUCAGUAAGCACUGCUUCUCAUUCCUUCUUUGGGGAAUUUCUAGAAUUACUCAAGUCAAAGGCUUUGAGGAUGUCUCGGCACAGUGAGCGCCUGCGCCUCCGUUACCAGGCACUUGGUGAUGGAGGCAACAGCAGCAGCAGCAGAAGCAGCAGCAGCACUGGAGGGAAUUCCCAGGUGGCUGAGCAGCACACCAACUGGAGGGAGGGUCCCCUCAGGUAAGAGGAGCCAGAGGAGACUCAGCUGCCUUCUCCAUCACAACUCCCCAGGGCAGCCAAGGGCCUUGGCUGCUGCCAUGUGCACACUUCUUUCCUGCCCCCAAUUUUGAUAGACACUUCACUCUACUGCUUGCUUUCCCCCCAAACCAGAGAAUUUCCUCUCCCCCUGUGGUCCCACCCUUUGGCUGCUGCUGCCUUCUCUUUCUGAGAACAGCAACUGAGGAGGGGCAACUUUGAGCAUAGAGAAGGCUGGAAACCCUGAGGCCUGAAGCUGGGCAGGGAACAACCCCUCUCAGCCACAGAUCUCUUCUCCCUGGCCCGAAGGCCCAUGCUUCUUAGGGUGAAGCCAGGACUCUGAGGAGGAAGUCCAGUAGGGUCAAAGGCUUCUCAUCAGGCCUCUCACCAGCCCCUCAUCUGGCCCUGUACACCUGUAACACCCCUGAAUCCUCCUCAGGGUACUUCUCUGAGGAUGACUCUGCAGGUAGGCAUCACUUCUUCUGCCCUGGAGGCCCAUUCCCCAGGCGCUGCCCCACUUCCUUCAAAGGGUGCCCCAUAGCUGGGGGUGGAGCAAGUAUCUCUCAGAUAAGAGGAAGAGAGAACUCUGCAGUCUGGCUCCAGUUGGGCGAUUGAAGGGUGGAGGGGGGGCUCAGGCCUCAGACAUGGUUGUCUCUCCUCCUGGGUGGAUGCUCAUUUCUUCCCUUCCCUGCAGGGCACUCCGUUACCCACCAGCCUGGCUCUGCAUCCACCUCCAAUAAUGGUGCCUCCCAAGUUGGCAUCUUUAACUGGAUGGCAAUAUACAUUUCAGGUUGGCUCUUUGCAGCAUUCCAGUGGUGCCUGGGAAACACCUGGCACUGCCUGACCACAGCUGCCUCCCUCCAGGAUUUCUUUCUGUUAAUCAGGUCAGUGAGGCCUCCCUGGGGCCUGUCACAAUUUAAGAUCCACUGCUCCAAGGGACUCCACAGUCCUCCAGGUCAAUUUCCCCUUAGGCCUUGCCCUGUUCCUUUUCAGCUUUUGGAGACUUUUACUCAAUGAAUCUUAUGAUAGACUCAGGUCAGGGCCAGGAGUGUGCUGGGACCAGCUGCAACCUGCUCCUGAGAGUCAGCUCCCAAUUAGGGUUUCAUUGAGUGUCUCCACUGAAGAAGAUGAUGGGAGAAAUGGGUUGUGGGUGCCUUGCCCUCCUCCAGAGCUGGUUGUUGAACAUUUAGCAGCACUCGCCUGCCCCCAUUCCUCUUGCUUCUUCAGGGAAGUGGGUUGGCUCUGACUACAAGUGGGACUCUCUUCCUGAGUAUCUUUUAGGAGCUCUCCCCUCAGUAGUUCCUGCCUCUGAUCACAACUGAGUCUGGUGAGUUCACUUCUGCUAGUCUGAGGGUCCUGAGUUUGCAGGGACACUCCCUCCUUUGGGGUUCCAAUCCAGAAUUUUCUGCCCAGUCUUCCAGGUCUCCAGGCCAUGCUUGCAGUUUCUCUGUGGAGGAGCAUGGGCAGUUCUCCAGGCUGCCUCCAGGGCUGAAUCCAGGAGCCUCUAGAGCAGGGGUGGGGAACCUGAGGUCCCCAGGCCCCAUGUGGCCUUCUAGGUGCUUGGGUGCGACUUUUGAACUGACUCCAAGUUUGACAGAAUCAAUCCUUUGCUGAAGGGGAUUGAUUUGGUGAACUCUGGUUACAGUGGAGGACCUAGUGGACCACAUGUGUCCUCGAGGCUGGUAGGUAGCCCAGGCCUGCCCUGGAUUCUUGGGACCAUAGGCUGGGCAAUGGUGACCAGCCGGCCUCAGCAGGGGUCCCUCCUGCAGCUCUUCCAAGUCCAAAUGGGCAAGCAUUGUAAGGACUUAGACAAAAGAAGACUAACUAAUUCAUGAGCAGUGUAUUAACGUAGUUUUGAUGGAGGCCUGAUACGGAGACACCUUCCACUAGACCUGUCAAAGGGCAGCAUGUCCCCUUGCAUACCACCACGAGCACCUUUCGGAAAAGCCAAGUUUUCUCCUUCCACUUUACGCCAAGGGUUGUCCAUACAAGCCCAGUUCUCCACUUCUUGGGUACCCAGUGGCAGGGGGUGGAGGUGGGAGGGGGAAGAGUGGGCACACCCUUUUGGUUGUUUCAUUUGCCACUUAGGGAGGGUCUGCUAGGAGCCAGGGGUGGUGAAGGGCAAGUGCUAACAUCUCUUUCAUCCCAAUG